rnacentral:misc_RNA from 1 species
GAACUUAUCACAUGAUAUGUGGGUUUAAUUUUACUCUUAAUAUCUGAUUUAUUGACACAGCGUGAAGCUCAAUAAAAGUACGCACUUACACAAUAGUGAAUAUUGAGAGAAAUCUCUGCUGUAGUUUUAUUAAAUGAAGUCUGAACUAAAAUACACAGCUUUUAGGCGUAUUUAUAGAGUUUUAAGACUUCCAAAACUAAUGGGAAAAUAAAACUA